UGCAUUCACUAAUUGCAGUUUCUCUAGCGCCACUUCUCUUUCCAAUCCCACGUUCAAUAUAAAACCUCACCAACCCAUCAAUUCCCUUUCCUGCACUAACUUCUUCAAACCCAUUUCUUCCUCCAAUUCCUACCCUAGCUUCUCGCUUCCCAGGCAGAAAACUUCUCGAUCAAAAUUAGCAUUAUCGAAACGCGCGUAUCGACUAGUGGAGGUCGCUGCUUUGGUGGAUGACAAUUCUGAGACAUACCCAGAAGCUGAACCCAGCUAUUCGAAUACGGAUGCAACUAUUGACAUAGAAUUGCCAAGAAGGAGCUUGCUUGUGCAAUUUACUUGUAAUGAAUGUGGCGAAAGAACACAGAGGCUCAUAAACCGAUUAGCCUAUGAACGGGGGCUAGUUUAUGUUCAGGUAUUUAUUUGUUGACUGUAAUUGAUGGAAUGUUAGUAAUAUGUUUCCUGAAGACAGUGAAGCUGUUAAACAUUUUUUCUGAUACUUUUAAAACUUUUCUUCCUGUAUUUUUUAACAUAAAUAAGAUAUAUAAUUUUUAGUUUUUGCUUACAGAUGAAUUUGUUAAUAUCCAUCAUUGCUGGGAAAGUUAUAACCUAAGACUUACAAUAAUUAGCCUUUUGUGUUUUCUAUUCGUACUGUCAGCUGGCAAAAGAUUUAAUAUGAAUUAAUUUAGAAUGUGGAGAACUUCAAAGCCAUAUGAAGCACUGCAAAAGGAUGAAAAGGCCACAUUUUCAUAAGAAAAUUUUGUUAGUAUUAAAUGGGAUUGACAUUUCUAGGAAAUGAAAGUUUAAAAUUCAAUAUGAUGAUCCUCUUGCUAUAUUUCUGGCAGUGACUAUCAGACUACCAUGUGACAUAUGUUUAUCUUUGGACCUAACCGUAGCUGUAUUUUUGCAUCUCACCCUUUCAAAUAAUUAUAAUUUGUGGCAUGGUUGACCUAGUUGCUAUUAUUUGGGAAUUUUUUCUUAUUCUUCCUUGGUGAUGCUUCAGAACUCUAGAUGGGAUUUUCUUCUUAUUCUGUUAGGGAAGAACAUUUUCUGUUCCAAUUCAAUCCAACCGAAAUUGAUUGAUUGUGUUUUGCUUUGUUUGUCAUGUCAUGUAUGCCAUUAUUAACUAGAUCAAUAAUUGUGUGUAAAUGGAUAUUAUUUUCUACCUGAAUUAUGCUUCAGACCAAAUUUAUCAGAUGAUUUUGAUAUAUUUUUACUAUGAAAUUUGUAUAUUCUUCUAUUAAUUUCAUUAAUAUAUUGACCAACUUCUCAUAUUUGAGUAAGUUUUUUGUAGAUGCUUGCUAAUGCCCAAUAUCAAUGUAGUAUUUGGCACCAUAUAUCAUGCUGCUAGCUAGAACUUUUCGCAACUUGCUAGUUCCUAAAAUAUGAAUUUGAUGCUGCUCCUACAGAAUUUGUAACUGGGGAUGCACAAUUGCGCAUCUAUUGUUUUGAAUAAUUACCAAGGAGGAAAUUGUAAUUGCUUGUGUUGCAAGGUUUUUGUGGUUUUAAUAAUUUAAAAUGAAAAUUUCAUGUUCAUUUGACCACCAAACGAUGCUUCUAUUAGUGUGCAGGAUGUGAGCGGUAUCACAAAUUAGCUGAUAACCUUGGUCUCGUAAUUGAGUAUAAUUUGCUAGAGGACAUAACUGCAGAAUCAAGUGCAGAUCAAGUUUGAUAAGUGAAUGAAUUUCAGUAUUUAUACAGUUUUCUUCUUUAUAUAGUUUUCUGUGGUUGUAAUUCAAACUUCAUCUUUAUUACAUGCCAUCUGUGUAAGAAUUGAAAAAAUACAAAAAUGUUGACAAUCCAUUGGCAUGCCUCUUGCAUCAUAAUCCUAUUUAUAUGAAUUUUUAAGUGAUUUUUAUUUUGUACAUAUAAAAUUAUCUUUCUUCAUGAUAUAAAAGGGUGACCCAGAAGCAUCCCACACUUGUGGGCGUUGGGGAGGGUUGAUAUAUGCAGCCUUACUCCUGUUUUGCAGAGACUGUUUCCAUGGCUCGAACCCAUGACCUCUAGGUUACAAGUGGAAUAACAUUUACACCAAAGUCAUCCUUUAUCUUCCUUCAUGAUAUGAGAUUUCUAAAAACUGUAGCCUGUAACCAGCAGCAGAAAGGCAAUAGCUAAUGUCCUUGCCCAGAUUCCAGACCUUCCUCUCAGCUGAUGCAAUGCAUUUCCUCCAUUCUACAAGGCAAAGAAAAUGCAAGAAAAGCAAUUAUUCAAAAUAAUAAACAAGUAUUGUUAUAGGAAUCUAAAUAUUAAAUUUGCCUUAGUAAUUUAGAUGCAAGGGAUUGUGUAUUGUACCAGAUUUGGGGAUGGUGCAGGGGCUGUAUCCUCAGAGUCUGUCACUGGUGUGGGUGGGGCCGGGGGACUGGGGGGAGUUGGUGCUGGAGCCGGUGAAUGAUGAUGCUUCUUGUGCCUGUGCCUUCUUUUCUUCUUGUGUUUGGAUGGAGCUGGUGCGGGUGAAGGCACUAAUUCAGGUGUUGGGGCCAGUGGUGGAGUCGCUGGUACUGGGGCUGGUGGAGUCGCUGGUGCUGGUGU
rnacentral:misc_RNA from 1 species